rnacentral:rRNA from 1 species
AUUGAACGCUGGCGGCAUGCCUUACACAUGCAAGUCGAACGGUAACAGGUCUUCGGAUGCUGACGAGUGGCGAACGGGUGAGUAUACAUCGGAACGUGCCCGAUCGUGGGGGAUAACAAAGCGAAAGCUUUGCUAAUACCGCAUAAGAUCUACGGAGGAAAGCAGGGGACCGCAAGGCCUUGCGCGAACGGAGCGGCCGAUGGCAGAUUAGGUAGUUGGUGGGAUAAAAGCUUACCAAGCCGACGAUCUGUAGCUGGUCUGAGAGGACGACCAGCCACACUGGGACUGAGACACGGCCCAGACUCCUACGGGAGGCAGCAGUGGGGAAUUUUGGACAAUGGGCGAAAGCCUGAUCCAGCCAUGCCGCGUGCAGGAUGAAGGCCUUCGGGUUGUAAACUGCUUUUGUACGGAACGAAAAGACUCUUUCUAAUAAAGAGGGUCCAUGACGGUACCGUAAGAAUAAGCACCGGCUAACUACGUGCCAGCAGCCGCCGUAAAAC